rnacentral:lncRNA from 1 species
UAACUGACAAAACUACAAUUCUCAGAGUGCCUUUCAGAGAAGUGCCUGGCUGCAAGAACUCCUGGUUUGUGCCUUCUGCCUGAUUUGAGUCCCUGCUCCAAGGAGUUUGCAGACUUGAUGGUCCUCAAGUCUCCUGUGAUGAAAGAACCAUUGUUCUGUCUACUUGGCUUUCUUCAGCAUUCAGAGACUGAAUGACUCACCCAGAAGGAGCUGGGGACACCCAGGCCAGAUGGAGUCCCUUCUGCUGUUUAAGAAAUUCAAGGAGGAUUGUGAAGUUGACCCAAGUACAUGUCAUCCACCCAUCUCUGAUCCGAGUUUGGUGCUGCAAAUAGAAGUACAGCACUCAGAAACUCCUGCCUCUACUUUGAAGAAAAUAUGGUAA